GAACUGAAGAGUUUGAUCAUGGCUCAGAUUGAACGCUGGCGGCAGGCCUAACACAUGCAAGUCGAGCGGAUGAAGGGAGCUUGCUCCUG
rnacentral:rRNA from 1 species